AUGAGAACGGAGCUUACCAGAUUCACGACGAGGUUGCGGUGUGGAUGGUGUGCAAGAAUCUCCCGCGGCGGCCGGAGUUGGUGCACCAAGGAUCUUCAACGGAGUAGCUUGUUUGUCCUUUCCUCUUUUCGUAUUUACCGAUCUAUUUAUGAGUUUGUGAUAUGGUAUGUGGUGCUUGGAAACUUGCUUUAUGUUUGA